rnacentral:rRNA from 1 species
UACGGGGGGAGCAAGCGUUGUUCGGAUUUACUGGGCGUAAAGGGCGCGUAGGCGGCCAGCACAAGUCAGUUGUGAAAUCUCCGAGCUUAACUCGGAACGGUCAACUGAUACUGUGCGGCUAGAGUGCGGAAGGGGCAACUGGAAUUCUUGGUGUAGCGGUGAAAUGCGUAGAUAUCAAGAGGAACACCUGCGGCGAAGGCGGCUAUCUGGACAGAGUCUGACGCUGAGGCGCGAAAGCUAGGGGAGCAAACAGG